AAGCUGGUCUCUAUGAGGUCCGGCAUUGUAAUGGGAACAACUUAAAUCAUUUAUCGAGGAUCUAUUGGAGGGCAAGUCUGGUGCCAGCAGCCGCGGUAAUUCCAGCUCCAAUAGCGUAUAUUAAAGUUGUUGCGGUUAAAAAGCUCGUAGUUGGAUCUACGAUCAAGUCUUGUGGUCGCUCUGCCUGAGUGUACUGCAUUGACUGAUCCAUAUAUCCAGUAUUCGAUUGAUGCUCUUCAUUGAGUGUCUCUAGUUGCUGGAACUUUUACCUUGAAAAAAUUGGAGUGCUCAAGGCAGGCUAGCCUGAACAUUGCUGCAUGGGAUAAUAGAAUAGGACUUCGGUUCUAUUUUGUUGGUUUCGGAACACGAAGUAAUGAUUAAUAGGGACAGACGGGGGCAUUCGUAUUGCUGCGUUAGAGGUGAAAUUCUUGGAUCGUAGCAAGACGAACUACUGCGAAAGCAUUUGCCAAGAAUGUUUUCAUUAAUCAAGAACGAAAGUUAGAGGUCGAAGGCGAUCAGAUACCGCCCUAGUUCUAACCGUAAACGAUGUUAACUAGCGAUCCGCAGGAGUUACUUUAACGGCUCUGCGGGGAGCUCCCGGGAAACCUAAGUGUUCGAAUUCCGGGGGAAGUAUGGUUGCAAAGCUGAAACUUAAAGGAAUUGACGGAAGGGCACCACCAGGAGUGGAGCUUGCGGCUUAAUUUGACCCAACGCGGGGAAACUCACUUGGUCAGGACACUGUAAGGAUUGACAGAUUGAAAGCUCUUUCUUGAUUCGGUGGAUGGUGGUGCAUGGCCGUUCUUAGUUGGUGGAGUGAUUUGUCUGGUUAAUUCCGAUAACGAACGAGACUCUAACUUGCUAACUAGUCGCAGUUUUAUUCUGACUGUCGAGCUUCUUAGAAGGACAGGGGACGCCAGUCCCACGAGAUUGAGCAAUAACAGGUCUGAUAUGCCCUUAGAUGUCCAAGGCCGCACGCGUGCUACACUGAAGACGUCAACAUGUUAACCUAACUCGAAAGGGUUUGGGGAACCCUAUGAAACGUCUUCGUGCUAGGGAUUGGGACUUGUAAUUAUUUCCCAUGAACGAGGAAUUCCUAGUAAGUGCGAGUCAUCAUCUCGCGCUGAUUACGUCCCUGCCCUUUGUACACACCGCCCGUCGCUACUACCGAUUGGAUGUGUUAGUGAGAUUUUCCGACUGGGACAAUGGCAGCUUCGGUUGCAGUUGGUCCUGGAAAGAUCAUCGAACUAAUAUAUCUAGAGGAAGUAAAAGUCGUA
rnacentral:rRNA from 1 species